CGCACAUUGCGCUCUUUGGUAUUCCGAAGAGCAUGCCUGUUUGAGUGUCAUAAUAACCCUCACCUUGCCGGUUUCAUGACCGGUCUUGGUGGUUUGGACGUCUGCCAUCUUCACGGUUGGCUCGUCUUAAAUGUAUCAGUGGAUGACAGCGUGAUAAGUCUUCGCCAACCCCACUCUAAAGACCCUAUCAAUCUGACCUCAAAUCAGGUAGGACUACCCGCUGAACUUAA
rnacentral:misc_RNA from 1 species